rnacentral:lncRNA from 1 species
AACAACAGAACCUCCCCUUCCUCUUAUCUUCAAUACCCCAGAAACGACCCCCCACAAAACACCAUAGCUGUCACUUCUCACCUCUAUCUCUAUCCGCACACCACCCUAAACAAAAACUCAGCCGCAGAUUUUUCCAAACGACCCGCUCCCUUCAAUAUCUGCCUAAAAUCCGCCAAAAGAAAAAUAUAGAUUUUUAUCUCUUCUUUCAAAUUCGAUUUUCAGUGGCGAAAAACUGAAUUUGAUUGAAAUUUGCAUUUGAGUUCGUGUUGGAUUCGAGAUUUGUGGUGCCGAGUCGAGUUUCUAGUUGCUGGUCGCGGUUCCAAUCACAGUUUCUGUUCAUUUUUUGUGUUGCCGUUUCACGACUGAAUUCUCGGAGUCUAAGUCUUGUGUAUUCAUUGCUUCUUUAUUCGAAUUCAAACUUGCUUAACAGGUUCUUUGUUCAUUGGCUUAACAGGUUUGUUUCCAUAUCAUUCUUCUUUUUUAGAACUUGCUUCGGAUGGAUUGCGCAUUAGAGUAGUUAUUUUACGUUUAACUUUCUCUCGAUUCUAGCUUACGUUGUGUGUCGAUUGCAUGUUCACCGAAUUAUUCUGUUGCAAUCUCCUAGAUUUUAAAAGAGAAUAAAUUUUUUGGAUCAAUUUAGGUAAUGUAAUAGAUUAGUAUUAGGAGUUGGAAUGUUUUUUCUCAUGAAAUUAGUGAAAGUUCUCAAAAAUUGUUGUUUUUAGCGGGUUGUUUUGUUUCUCUAUAGUUACUAGGAGUUUUCUAGACAUAGUGUAAUAAUCAAGUGAGUAAGAUUUUGAGCCUUUUUUUAUUAACCUAUUUUCUCACAUCUAUUAUGAUAAAUGGAUUAAGUGUAUUGAAAUGUGAAGUUUUUUCCAGUAAGUUCUUCAUUACUUAGAUGUCACUCUCUGUUGAUUUUAAGAUUGUAAUUCAUUAAGAAUGUCUUUAGUUCAUCCAAAGCCCAUGCAGCUCAAGAUGAGAUAUAUUACAGAGGUCCAUUGACCUAUUUUAAUUACCAGUCAUAAAUUAUCUUUGUAAUUAUUAUUGUGAGUCGAUUAAAUUUAUGUCAAAACAUUUAGGUUCCGUUUUCAUUUCCGGCUAAGUAUCAUAUGUUUGAAAUAUCUCAUUGGCUUGAAUUAAUUCAGUUGGGGUAGUAAUCUUUAAAUGUCUCUUCCUAAUGGCUUUGAUUCACAUUCUUUACCUUGUAGUUAUUAGUAUUUUAGUUUCCUUUAGUCCUUACCUUCUUGUUGCCUUCUGUUAGAUAUUUUGCUUGGUUAGUUAGUGUUUUUUGGAUUAAGUUUUUUGAAUUAUGAAUAAUAAUCGUGGGGUGAAUUGAAUUUUCCUCUUAUUUAAUACUCUUUUAUUUAUUUUACUUUUACAACUUACUCGUUAGUAGCAUGUUUAGGCUGAUCACACUUGGAUAGGCAAGUCAUGGGAUUAUUUUUAGUUUGAGGUGAGAGGUCAUUCCCUUAGUUAAAUUUAUCCAGGAAAUGCUCUGGAGGAUUUGUAUAUAUUUUAUUCCAAGAAAUCCCUCGUAGUAUUCUAUAAUUGGAGGCCAAAAGCAAGCUCGUAGUACUUUUAUUCUCAUUUCAUCUUAUUUUUAUCUUUCUUUUAUUAGGUGGGGAUGACCUCGAGCCUUUUCUAUGUUUAUUUUUUUUCCUGUGUUUAUUUUUAUCUUAAUUUGAAUGUUUUAAAAGCCAACUAGACUGAGUAAGCUACCGUGACCUUCACGGGACCUGGGGAAUGCCUAACACCUUUUCCCCGAGUCAAAUGAACUCCCUUACUCAAAU